rnacentral:rRNA from 1 species
CCUACGGGAGGCAGCAGUCGGGAAUUUUGGGCAAUGGGCGCAAGCCUGACCCAGCAACGCCGCGUGAAGGAUGAAAUCCCUCGGGAUGUAAACUUCGCAAGAACAGGAAGAAUAAGUGGGGGACAAUACCCCCCAUGAUGACGGUACUGUUUGUAAGCUCCGGCUAACUCCGUGCCAGCAGCCGCGGUAAU